AUCCCACAAGUAGAAAGACGGAAAUCGAAACGAAGCUAUUAUCAUUAAACAUAAAUGGUCUAAACUCACCCAUUAAAAGGAAACAGAUACUAUCUAGAUUAGCAGUCAUGACCUCCAAGUUGGGUGGCAUGCCUU